AAAUUGAAGAGUUUGAUCAUGGCUCAGAUUGAACGCUGGCGGCAGGCCUAACACAUGCAAGUCGAGCGGUAGCACAGAGAGCUUGCUCUCGGGUGACGAGCGGCGGACGGGUGAGUAAUGUCUGGGAAACUGCCUGAUGGAGGGGGAUAACUACUGGAAACGGUAGCUAAUACCGCAUAAUGUCGCAAGACCAAAGUGGGGGACCUUCGGGCCUCAUGCCAUCAGAUGUGCCCAGAUGGGAUUAGCUAGUAGGUGGGGUAACGGCUCACCUAGGCGACGAUCCCUAGCUGGUCUUAGAGGAUGACCAGCCACACUGGAACUGAGACACGGUCCAGACUCCUACGGGAGGCAGCAGUGGGGAAUAUUGCACAAUGGGCGCAAGCCUGAUGCAGCCAUGCCGCGUGUGUGAAGAAGGCCUUCGGGUUGUAAAGCACUUUCAGCGGGGAGGAAGGCGGUGAGGUUAAUAACCUCAUCGAUUGACGUUACCCGCAGAAGAAGCACCGGCUAACUCCGUGCCAGCAGCCGCGGUAAUACGGAGGGUGCAAGCGUUAAUCGGAAUUACUGGGCGUAAAGCGCACGCAGGCGGUCUGUCAAGUCGGAUGUGAAAUCCCCGGGCUCAACCUGGGAACUGCAUUCGAAACUGGCAGGCUAGAGUCUUGUAGAGGGGGGUAGAAUUCCAGGUGUAGCGGUGAAAUGCGUAGAGAUCUGGAGGAAUACCGGUGGCGAAGGCGGCCCCCUGGACAAAGACUGACGCUCAGGUGCGAAAGCGUGGGGAGCAAACAGGAUUAGAUACCCUGGUAGUCCACGCCGUAAACGAUGUCGAUUUGGAGGUUGUGCCCUUGAGGCGUGGCUUCCGGAGCUAACGCGUUAAAUCGACCGCCUGGGGAGUACGGCCGCAAGGUUAAAACUCAAAUGAAUUGACGGGGGCCCGCACAAGCGGUGGAGCAUGUGGUUUAAUUCGAUGCAACGCGAAGAACCUUACCUGGUCUUGACAUCCACAGAACUUAGCAGAGAUGCUUUGGUGCCUUCGGGAACUGUGAGACAGGUGCUGCAUGGCUGUCGUCAGCUCGUGUUGUGAAAUGUUGGGUUAAGUCCCGCAACGAGCGCAACCCUUAUCCUUUGUUGCCAGCGGUCCGGCCGGGAACUCAAAGGAGACUGCCAGUGAUAAACUGGAGGAAGGUGGGGAUGACGUCAAGUCAUCAUGGCCCUUACGACCAGGGCUACACACGUGCUACAAUGGCAUAUACAAAGAGAAGCGACCUCGCGAGAGCAAGCGGACCUCAUAAAGUAUGUCGUAGUCCGGAUUGGAGUCUGCAACUCGACUCCAUGAAGUCGGAAUCGCUAGUAAUCGUAGAUCAGAAUGCUACGGUGAAUACGUUCCCGGGCCUUGUACACACCGCCCGUCACACCAUGGGAGUGGGUUGCAAAAGAAGUAGGUAGCUUAACCUUCGGGAGGGCGCUUACCACUUUGUGAUUCAUGACUGGGGUGAAGUCGUAACAAGGUAACCGUAGGGGAACCUGCGGUUGGAUCACCUCCUUACCUUAAAGAA
rnacentral:rRNA from 1 species